UACGUAGGGUGCAAGCGUUAUCCGGAAUUAUUGGGCGUAAAGAGCUCGUAGGCAGUUUGUCGCGUCUGCUGUGAAAACUGGAGGCUCAACCUCCAGCCUGCAGUGGGUACGGGCAGACUAGAGUGCGGUAGGGGAGAUUGGAAUUCCUGGUGUAGCGGUGGAAUGCGCAGAUAUCAGGAGGAACACCGAUGGCGAAGGCAGGUCUCUGGGCCACUACUGACGCUGAGAAGCGAAAGCAUGGGGAGCGAACAGG
rnacentral:rRNA from 1 species